CCAAAAAGUUUGAUCAAAUGCAUUUUACUCUUGCUGUCUAAACAUUUCAUCUGGUUAAUGCCUAACUUCAAGUAUUCUUAAUAUUUGUACUUACUAAAUUAUUCGGGGAGAAGCUACUGAUCGUAGGCCAAAUGCUGAUGUCAUUUACACCAACAAUUAGCCCAACAUUGCUCAACUGCCGUCAGGUGCUGCCAGGGUUUGAGGCUCUGGUGUCUUCCCUAGUUUCUCCCAACAGAUGGCAGCCUCUUGACUACUCUUCUUCCCUCCCGGAUUUUAGGUGAAAGGCAGCAGGGAAAACACCCUUAUUGUGGUUUUGCCUUGAACAAGAAAGAUUUUUUGUCCUUCUCGGUUUAACCUUUGCUUGUCAGAAUAACGAUGAGGGGGAGGAAGGAGAAGAAGCCAGUGCCCGAAGGCCAGAGAAAUGGUGGAGUGGAUUUCCCAUUAAUACACGAAAUAACAGGAGCGAGUUCACAGUCAGCAUGUCAUGAAAUAGCUGUCAAAAGUCUGAGUCAAAUGAAAUGUGAAAUGUUCACAGAAAAAGGAAGCAAGCCCAGCCGAACUCCUCCGCUAUGGCAUGUUUUGGGGCACAGCUGCCUCUUGCAAACACUUUUUAGAGACUCAAAAAAGCUCUGUGACUGGCUAAAAAUAAGCCUUGGCACCUUGUAUGCAGACUUUAUUGCAGACAGGAAUGAAGGCUCAACAGCCCUGCAAGUGGUACCUGGCAUUUUUGUGUGUGCUACUAGAGGAGUGAAUUGUAGCAGUGCUUUAGCUGGGCCUGACAAAAUACAGUUACUAAUGAUGACAUUAAAAAGAAGCAGACCCACAUCAUCACUGGAAAUAUUCUUCACCACUGCACCAGCAAGAUGCCAGUAACUUGCCAGGCAUCCCUGAUACAGCUGCAAUUCCCACCAGCAAUGCAGCCUCACAUCGUGUGGUGGACAACAAAGGAGAGGAAUCUCUUCCUCUGCAUCCCUUUAAAAUCCCCUGCCCUUCUGCUGUAUGCCUUUUAAUUGUACGUCUGUGUAUUCGCUGCCACACUUACUUACCUGUUGCUAGCCAGAGUUAGUAGCAUGGAGGUAUCUGCUCUCUAACGGUCACAUUAUGUCUUAUUCAGUAAAACAAAUCAGCUAGAGGAGCCUUCAACUCAUUCUCAAUACUUAGUUACAGACUGUGAAAGAUUUAUGUAUAUGAAGUGUGCUCAGUUUUACUGUCAUGCGCCAUUGUUUUGACAGCCCAGAUGAAGUUCCAGGUAUGACAUUAUCAAACAGAAUAUGCCCUAGAGAAAUUAUUUUUCUGAGUGUUUUACUUCACACUCUCUCUCAGUUUCAAAAUGCAGAACAGGCCAUAAGAAAAUGAAAAGAAAAUUAAAGCUUUGAUUCAGCAGAGAGCCUCAGCAUAUGCUCACACUGAGGCAGCUAUGCAGUCAGAUUACGCCAGCACCUAAAAUCCAAGUGCUUUGCUACAACACUGAGCUGAUUCAGGUGCUAGUCCUUACCUUCUUUUACUACCAGUUAUAACUUGCUUACU